rnacentral:rRNA from 1 species
AUGUCUUUUGGAAGUAUAUACUUUGAUAUCAUACCAUUGUAUAUACUUGCUGCACUAGUUAUACUUGCCGAGGUGAGGGACAUUGCAUUUUACAUCUGCUCUAACUGGAUUAAAGUUGCCUUGAUAUGUCAAUAUGUGAAGCAUGGUUCCUGGCGACAAUCAGCUACCAUCCAGAGAUGUAUUGGUUGUGUGCUACGGAGCAAAGGCAAGUUGAUAAGGAAUUGGGAGGACAAAAUGGGCCAGUCCUCAGUUUUGGUGCUCCACCCAAUCAAAACUCCGAUGGCUCUUCUUCGGCAUCUCAUUCAUUUGUCAGGCAAUACGAAGACACCAAGUGCAGUCAAAUCUGCUAUUGUCGGUGCAUUGAGAAAAGGCUACGAGACAGGGCAAAUCAAUGGUGAUGUACCUUCUUUCCAAAGGAUCCUACAUCUGCAAGGCGACGACAAGAUCAUUUGGACAUUUGGGGAAAGAGGUACAGCUGAAAUCAUGCUUGUGUGUCACAUUGCUACCACAAUCCUUGGAGCAAGGUUACCAACACAUCAACCUCCAUCAGACACUGACCAUAUCUCUGCUGCAAAUCAUAUAUCGCAAUAUUGCGCCUACCUGGUGGCACACUAUCCUGAGCUACUACCUGAAGAUGCUGAAUGGUGCAAGAGCUUGUACAAGGCCGUUGAGAAAGAUGCCAAGCGUGCACUCAUUGGCAAUUAUUCGAGGGACUCAUGGAUGUCUGAAGUUGAGUACCGGAGGAGGUUUAUUCAGUUGCUAAGCGCAGAGCGUAACCAUGAGGUGCUCAAGGAUGGCGCGAGGCUUGCAGAGCAAUUGGCUGAAGAAGGGGAGGAGGUAGCUUGGAAGGCCCUCGCUGCGUUUUGGUCGGAGAUGAUCCUGUAUGUCGCUCCAUCGGACAACAUCGACGGCCAUAUGAAGGCGCUCGCCCGGGGCGGCGAGCUGGUAACCCUCCUCUGGGCUCUGGUCACCCACCUCGGCAUCGUCGGCAGGUCAGACAACACCACUGAUGCUGCUACCGUUGACGUUUAA